rnacentral:rRNA from 1 species
GAUGAACGCUGGCGGCGUGCUUAACACAUGCAAGUCGAACGAGCUUUAUUACUACGAUCCCUUCGGGGUGACGGUUUUAAAGCGAGUGGCGGACGGGUGAGUAACGCGUGGAUAACCUGCCAUAUACUGGGGGAUAACAGCUGGAAACAGCUGCUAAUACCGCAUAAAACUGUAGAGUCGCAUGACUUUAUAGCCAAAGCUCCGGCGGUGUAUGAUGGAUCCGCGUCUGAUUAGGCAGUUGGCGGGGUAACGGCCCACCAAACCGACGAUCAGUAGCCGACCUGAGAGGGUNACCGGCCACAUUGGGA